UACAGAGGUCCCAAGCGUUGUUCGGAUUCACUGGGCGUAAAGGGUGCGUAGGUGGCAGUGUAAGUCUGAUGUGAAAGCUUCGAGCUUAACUCGAAAAUGGCAUUGGAUACUAUAUUGCUGGAGGUUUGGAGGGGGGACUGGAAUUCUCGGUGUAGCAGUGAAAUGCGUAGAUAUCGAGAGGAACACCGGUGGCGAAGGCGAGUCCCUGGACAACACCUGACACUGAGGCACGAUAGCUAGGGGAGCAAGCAGG
rnacentral:rRNA from 1 species